GGGCAGCACAUAGAUGAAGCCGGCUGACGAGCGGGGUCCAUUGGUCGGUGAGAGAAAAAAAAAGAAAGGGAGCUGCGCGCUUGGGCCAGAGAGGAGAGUGGGCCGAGGCCACGCGAGUUGGGCCGCUGUGCUGGACCGAGGGAGAAAGAGUCAGGCCUUCGGGCCAAACAUAGAGGAGAGCUUUCUUGUGUUUUUUUUCUUUCUUUAUUUCAAAGCCAAUUUUCAAAAACCAAUUUGAAAAUAUUUUUAUAACUUUGAUCAAAGUCACACAGUACAAAAAUAUGAAUGAUCUAGCAUGAGUGCACAUACAUGUUACUAAAUUCUAUGAUAAGUUUUAUUUUAAGGACAAAUAUUAUUUUUCCCAUAUUUUCAUGAGCACAAAAUACAAAAUUAAAUCAUUUUUCUCCUAUUUUAAAAUGAGCAAAUUUUUGGGUGUUACAAGCUUUAGGCGACCGAUCUGGCGAGGAGCACCCAGGCGAUGCUUAGCCCUCGGCCCUUGACAUAGGGCCACGACUGUGCUCGGCAAGGAAGAGCCCCACGGUGGUAGAUCCGGCUAGUUGCAGUGGAGGUGGAACCCUGAAUGGGCUCGAUGGGCCUGUGGAUGGGCUCAUCGGGCCUAUCGAUGGAUUUUUUCAUUUUUUUCAUUUUUUAUUUGAUUAACUGAGGCGGGCAGGCAACCGCCUUAGAAAAUAAUCUCUUUACCGUGACCUUCAUUCCGAGACGGUUGCAAAAAGCAACUCGGUUAAUCAUUUUUGCCGGCCUCUAUUAAAAAUAAUGUAGUAGUGUCUCCGUAUCUCUCAACUAGAACUAAUAUACUACAUUGGAGAGUCUAGCCCUAAUCCUCCUUGUGCACCCUGAUCAAUGCAUGAGAGAUAUGAAUUAUGGUUUUAGGGAUUUUCUCAACCAGGGGGUCAAGGGCCUGCUAAUAUAUGCCAAUGGGAUGAACAAGAGCUCUUCGAUUAAAUCGAUUUUGAUCAAUGGUGAAUAUGGAAAUCCUAAGGUGGUGGAGAAACCGACAUAGAAGCGAGCCGUGGACUGGAUCACCGGUGCAACCGACCUAGGGCUCAAUUGAGCCAACCCACUAUAGUGGCACAUGAGGCCCUCCUUUGCUAGGUCGCCUUCUCAUGUCUUCUAGAAUCUUCUCAAGUUGGUGCCAUGGUGGAGUAUGCUUUUUAGCCCGAUGUCCUUGAGAUGCUUUCUAGAGUCUUCACCAAAACUGCAGAAGUCUAUCAUUUCAACCCCUAUUCCAUGUAGGUAAUUCAUUUUAUGUCUUGCUCCAUGUUUGGUUCAUGGUUUAUAAUUGUAGUUAAGGACCAUUAACAAGCUCCCCUAAGCUUACCUUCGCUAGUCCCUUAGCAAAGCUAAACUCAGCAAAAAAAAUGGAUUAGGAGUUGCUUCAAUGUUUUCACACCUCAAAAGUACACAUGAGUUCAUACAAGAAUUCUCCUCUAGAUUAGAAUAAACCAAUAAGACUU
rnacentral:lncRNA from 1 species